CCCGACGCGGCCCCCGCCGCCGCCCGCCGCGCCCCCCGACGCGCCCCCGCCGCCACCCGCCCCCUGCCGCACCCCCUGCCGCGCCUCCGGCCUCCUCUGACCUCCCCAGUGCGCGUGGAUGCCUCCGCCCCCGCCUGCUCGCCUUCCAUCCGCUGCGCCGUCGGCCUCCCCAGCGGCCACGGGUGCUGGCCCCUCGCGCAAAACCUCCCCCACUCCAUUUUCCCCGGCGCAUGCGGGUUCCUUCGGCCUUCCCGGCGCACGCGGGCGCCGUCCCCACCUGCUCGCCUUCGAUUCGCAGCCGCCGUUGGCAUCCCCCGCGGGUCGAGGAUGCCUCCGGCCUCCCGGCGGGCACGGGCGCUGGCCCCUCGCGUGAAACCUCCCCCACUCCGUCGAUCCGAAGCAGAGAGCUCGCUCGUAGGGUCGAGUUCUGCGAUGCUCGGCUGGAGGUGACCACGGCGACGUCGGACGUCCGGUCAGUGCCUUUACCAAGUUUUUCUCCGCCAAGGUAUUUGAAUGCAAAUCGAGCCUGACUGCUUGCUUCGUUGUUUAUUGAUCUGAUACGUUUUGUUCUUAUACAAUUUCAAGCACGUUCGUAUUGAUUUCUUAGAGAACAACUGCGUCUUGUUGAGUUGCAGUGGAAGACAUCAGGGAAAGAAAGCCCCUAAUUUUUAGAGUAGUAUUGACAGCAGGUCAAAUUUGAGUGCUUCAGUUCUAUGCAUUGCAUCAUUCUUUGCAGCAUAUGUUGUAUCUUUUUUUUGAGCUAGAUGAGUGAGAAUGUUAUGCGCAACCAAUAUCAAAACCGAUCCCUGUCAAUGGACUGUAUAAGAUCCCUCUCUCAUUAGUCACAUUGAUUUUUUUUCUUUACAUUUCUCACUCAUUUUCAAAGUUAGUUUCACAUCAGUGCAUCCUUAUGAGGAGGAAAGGUCAAUAGCAUUGAUAAUAAAAUUUCUCAUCAUUAUUGGAACAAAGUUUUGUUUUCUUUGUGCUCAAAAAGCAAACAGCACCUUAAGAUUGAUAUGUUUACUUUUUCAUGUCAGGAAAGGUCAAUGGCAUUGAGAAAAUCUGUCUCUUCUAAAUCAUGAGUGAAUAGAGCUAUAUAUCUUCCAGGUUCAGUCUUCAUGUUACCUUAUGUUUGGGUUUCAUAGUUAAUUGAUCGGGUACACGAUUUGAACAGCACCAUGAUCUACCUAUGUGAAAUUUCAUCGCUAGGGUUUAGAAUUUCCUAGCCACCUUGAUCACCCUGAUCUGAUUCAAUUUGAUCUUAUUCAUGUAGCCAAAUAAGAUCCAUGGCAAAGCCAUAUAUCCACUUAUCCAGUCUCCAUCUUCCAUAAGGGUUAUUUGAACAAGGGGAAGUCCAAGGAGAUGACAGUACCUACUAUGACAGUACCAAAUAAUUGUCUUGUUGGCAAAUUCACACUUUCCCUGAAUAUUCUUACAGAAAUUUGAUUUUUUUCAGAUACGCGCAUAACGAUGCUAUCAUUCAUUCCUUGACAUCAGACGUGGGCUGUUCUAAUCCAUAUCUUUGCUUACUAUGAGAAGGUAUGAAUACAUGGAUUCUUUUCUUUAUUCACACAUUGCAAUAGCCAUUCGUAAUUGAUAUGUUGAAAGCAAACCAAGUUCAUCGGCAAGUUGCUUGGAUACACUGAUUCUCCUAGGAACCAAUGCAGCUCCACUAUUUCAGGUUUCAGUACAUUUUACAAUCUAACUGAUCAGUCCUUCAGAGGCUUCCAGGUUCAGCUGUGGCCACCAUGACUAUAAGCUGCUAAGAGCGACAGCCAUGUGGAGCACUGCAGGUUCCAUGAGUUGUGCUAAUAAAUGGGUUAACAAACAUGUUUUGGUCAGCAUUGAGUUCAUCACCUGUCUGUUUUUCCUGCUAUUCCAAUAAGAUUUGAGAGGAAGGCUGAGGUAGAAUCAAGUUAGCAUAAAUUAUUGGGAGCUCAUGGAUCUUUUUUCUUCUCCAUUUUGACCAAACUGUACAACUGAUAAAUACUAAGACCUUAGCUAAGCUAUCUCUAUAUAAUGCGGUUUAUUUUUUGGUGUUUUCUCAUUCAUUAAGUUCAACUUCUUUAUUGCUGUAUAGACCAAGAUGAAUGUCAUACAUGAGCUCCAAGACGUUUGUUCUAAGAGAUUUACAUGCGAAUACCAUAUGCGGACCAUUGACAAAAGGAACUCCAAAAAUCAAUUCUGUCCAGAUAUUCUAAAUUUUAUUAUGCCUAUUUAGAAUAAAAUUGAUGUACCACACAAGUAUCUUUAUGAGAUAUUGCUAUGUUGAUACAUCAAUCUAUUGCUAAGCUGUAACUCUCUUCCUCAGCUAAAGAAGCUCGAGAUACCAAGUUCAGAUAUGUCUACCUCUGCGAUAAUAAUGUUUCUUGAUUGUCUAAAGGAGUUUGACAUGUCGGGUUAUGAGACAUCCACAAUUAAUUAGCAAACAUGAACUAUUAUAUAUGUCAAAUAUUAACAAACAUGAAUAUUUCCUUUCCAAAACGAUCGUCUACAUAUCCAUGCGAUUAAUUAGCAUAUAAACAGUCUUAUGGAAUCUUAGGAGCAUAACAGACAUUUCUUACAGAAAUCCACAGCUGACAGUUGUUUCAGCCAAAUAGCUUUCAGCUUUCCCACAGCUAUCAGCUUACAGCAGCUCUCCCACAGCUGAUUUCAGAAAUCAGAUUUUCAGGAAUCGACAGCUGAAACCAAACACACCCUUACCCUCUUACCCUCCGGAACGGAACCAGCUGGCGGCACGAGGCAACGACGACGGCGCGGCGGUGAGGCACGGCAACCACCGCGACGACGACAGCGAUCGCAUCCCAUUCGACGCCCACGCUCUUAGUCCCCUUCUCGCCGCCUCCAGCGGCAGCUGCGUCCGUGCGGCAGGAACGCCGUCGUGGCCAGGCAGGACGCCAGUGCGGAGGAAGACGAGCGCCGCGGAGGGCGCGGCAGGGGGGCUCUCCUGCCGGGUACGCUUAAGGCCCCGGCGGCGGUGGACCCCCGCUGGGCAUGGGGCCACCCGGUGGCGUCGUGGCCAGGGGGCGAUCCGCGGAGGACCCCGGCAGCCUGGUGGCGUUCGUGUGUGGAAGCAGCAGGCAGCCUGGUCUGGUGGAAGUCUGGAUGUGGCCAGCGGCGGCUUCUUCUUUUUAUGAUGUGUGAGAUGGUGAUGGUGACGGUGACGGUGGGUGGGUGGCAUGUGCUGAUGCGGAUCGCAAGGAAAGCGAAGCUACUGAUCACCGUGAGAGUGAAGUGCAGUGGCUUGCUUUUCAUUUGUUUCCCAGGAACCUUGCUGCAGACGAGACCGCUAGCAAACUCGAUGCUUGCUUGCUUGCUUU